rnacentral:tRNA from 1 species
GGUUCCAUAGUGUGGCGAUUAGCACAUCUGCUUUACACGCAGAAAGUCCUGGGUUCGUGCCCCAGUGGAGCCA